rnacentral:rRNA from 1 species
GAUGAACGCUGGCGGCGUGCCUAAUACAUGCAAGUCGAGCGAAGCGGGGACGGGUGAGUAACACGUGGAAAACCUCUUAUAAGACUGGGUUAACUUUGGGAACCCGGAGUAAUCCCGGUAACUUAUAGAUGGAUCUGCGCUGCAUUAGCUAGUUGGUAAGGUAACGGCUUACCAAGGCAACGAUGCAUAGCCGACCUGAGAGGGUGAUCGGCCACACUGGAACUGAGACACGGUCCAGACUCCUACGGGAGGCAGCAGUAGGGAAUCUUCCGCAAUGGGCGAAAGCCUGACGGAGCAACGCCGCGUGAGUGAAGAAGGUCUUCGGAUCGUAAAACUCUGUUAUUAGGGAAGCGGUACCUAAUCAGAAAGCCACGGCUAACUACGUGCCAGCAGCCGCGGUAAUUC